rnacentral:misc_RNA from 1 species
GCAGCGCGAUGAUGCCGUUGCGACGCGCGUGUAGCGGCAACGGCAGGAGCGCCGGGUAGGCCUGGAUGAUCGGGUGAUGCCUGCCGCCUCCGCCCUUCCACCUCCUCCUCGCAUUCGCGCUCGCGCCACCGUCAUUGCUAACGCCUCCGCCGCCGCCGCCGCCGGCCUUCCUCUCGUUCUUGGGCACCGCUUCCCCCUCCAUGGCCGAGUUUCUGCUGCUGCCACCGGGCAGCGGGAAGUAAGCGCUACCCCGGUCCAAUUUGUUCGUACUACUUGGUACUGCUGCGCAGCUUCUUCCGGGGCAGCAGGAUCACAGCUUCUUGGGCUCCUUUUGGCGUGGCGCGGCGCGGCGUGGGCGUGGGUUGGCCUUGUGUGGGUUUCUUGGAUGGUUGGAAGGUA